GACAGCUUGCAUGCUAAGACUUUGCAUAGCAUCAGACAUGUCUGUUUAGAGAGAGAGAGAGAGAGAACAAAAAAGAGAGAGAAGAUGGUGAUGAAUGAAGAAGAAGAAGAAGAAGAAGAAGAAGAAGAAGAAGAAGGAAAGCUUGACAGGAAAUGGAAGAAGAUAAGAAGCUGAUCUCACAAAUUCUGCAAAAACAAACUUCGAGUCGGCCUCUGCUGGAGAAGACAAUCAGAGCAACCUCAGCAUCGCACAGCACAGAUAAUUCGUAAGCUUUCUUGAGCAGUCCGUUGCGGCGUUUGCAGAAGGUGACCUGACGCUGGCUCAGAAAAGUGAAACAGCCAUAGCAAUCAUCAGAUUAAGGUUUUCAUUUUUAUUUUUAUUUUUUGUUUGUUUCAAGUGCUUUCCCCCAAAUCACCUCAUGAAGGCAAAACACAAAAACAAUAAAACACUUGUUACU